rnacentral:rRNA from 1 species
GGAUGCAAUCAUACCAGCACUAAAGCACCGGAUCCCAUCAGAACUUCGAAGUUAAGCGUGCUUGGGCGAGAGUAGUACUAGGAUGGGUGACCUCCUGGGAAGUCCUCGUGUUGCAUUCC